rnacentral:rRNA from 1 species
CCGCCGGCGACGGCCCCGNACGGGUGAGUAACACGUAUGCAACCUGGCCGUGACAGAUGGAUAACCGGGAGAAAUCCCGCCUAAUACAACAUAAUGCCGGGAGGGGACAUCCCCUGCCGGCCAAAGGGGGCGACCCCGGUCACGGAUGGGCAUGCGGCGCAUUAGGUAGUUGGUGGGGCAACGGCCCACCAAGCCGACGAUGCGUAGGGGUUCUGAGAGGAAGGUCCCCCACAUUGGAACUGAGACACGGUCCAAACUCCUACGGGAGGCAGCAG